UACGUAGGGUGCGAGCGUUAAUCGGAAUUACUGGGCGUAAAGCGUGCGCAGGCGGUUCGUUGUGUCGGCGGUGAAAGCCCCGGGCUUAACCUGGGAAUGGCCGUUGAAACUGGCGAACUGGAGUGUGGCAGAGGGGGGUGGAAUUCCCGGUGUAGCGGUGAAAUGCGUAGAGAUCGGGAGGAACACCAGAGGCGAAAGCACUCUGCUGGGCCGACACUGACACUGAGAGACGAAAGCUAGGGGAGCGAAUGGG
rnacentral:rRNA from 1 species